GAGAAAGAUCAAGACCAAAAAUUGUAGUUAGAUUUAGGAAGGAGGAGGUAACGGAACUUCAAAAGCAAAAUUUCGGGGAGCUAGAAAGGGAAAAUGGAGUCAGGAGGAGCCUUGUCGAAAAACUGGAAGAUGUGAAGGCUCUUACCCUGAGAGAAAAAGGAGGAUUUUGAACAGAGAAGUGAUGUGAUCUAAGUUUUAAAAGAAUAAGUCUGACUGCUGCAUUGUGAAGAGACCGUAUGUGGGGCAAGAGAGGAAGCCAGGAGACCAUAGGAGGUGAGAAAAAGGGCGUUGCGGAUCCUUUGGAGCCAAGGACUGGAACUGCCAUGCAAGACCUCUACCAACUGAGGGUUUCAUGAGCGCACUCCCUUGCCAAGAUCUUGGUGAAUAGUCUUUUACUGUGCAAUUGUGUCUUAGACAUUGUUUUACUUGUUAUCAUGAUUGUGCUUGGCUGGAUGCUUUUUGUUGGACUUGCAUGUUACAUGGGCACAUUUCCAGAGUUCACGCCUCCAACUCUGAAGUGGAAAGAGAAGUGGCCUGUUCAGGAGAGCAAGACACGACUGAGGAGCCUGGCUUUGGAUGAAGAACCACAACUAUGAGAACCAUGUGGAAAGGAUAUAAGUAUCCCCCAGGAGGGACCCCGGUGGAAGUAAGCAAAGAUGAUCCUGGUGAAGUCAUGCAGCUCUGAAGCUCACCUGGCCUGCUGUAGAGUUCCUGUUGUUGGUUUCGCAUAAAAAAAGUGAAUUCAAAAUCCAUUAGCAACACUGGAAUCCUAAAACCAGGAUACUAUCUCUUAUAAGGCUUCUUAUAUGACUUAGACUCAACACAUCCCAUUGAGCUAAGUGCCUACAUUUUCUGGCUCCAUGGCUAUACCAACUUGCCUCUUGAAUAUCCCAAAGGACUCAUCUUGUCAGUUGUUUCAAGCUCUUUUAUUACAGGGGAUCAGAACCUGUGCUCGUUUUCUUGACAAGAGGAACUAUACACCCAGUUCUUCUUCCCUCUGGUUCCCUGAAUAUACCUGCAAACAGUUCUCCGGCCUUCAGAGUAGCUCUCUUAAGCUGGUGGGGUGCGGGGAGAUGGGUCAGUUGUAGGGGUUGAGCAGAGGUCAAUACGUCAGAGGGAAUGAACAGGUGUGUGUGUGUAUGUGUCUGUGAGAGUGUGUGUGUGUGUGUGUGUGUGUAAGGAAGCACACCCCAUGUCAAGUCUGAUGAGUCAGUCUACUGAGGUUUCUAGCUGGAAAAAUGUUCAGGGUGAUGAAAGAAGGAAUAUCUGAGUUUUGGUAAAUAAAUGCAAACCAGUGAAAAUAUCAAUAAAAUAUUUUUAAUGCCUACAAUUUCUUUUAUACAUAAAUUGCAAAACUUUCACCUGUAUAUGCAAAAGUAGAUUCUCUUGCAGGUCAACAGCACCAGAAAACAAGCUAAACUAUGUAAAUGUUUUUUUUUUUUUUUUAAAACUUGAUUUGUCCAUUAUGUAAAAGACAUGAUGGAUUUAAUAACUUCAAAGAAAUCUAUAUCCCACUCUUAAUCAUACACUAAACACCUGAAUAUUUAUUUUAUCACAUCCACUCACAAAAUAAAUAGUAGUCUAAUAUAUUCAGCACAUUGAAAAUAAACCAACCAGUUUCUCUUCAUAUAUUUAUUCUCUUUCCAAACAUGUUUUGGUCUCCUGCUAUAUCUCAGAAAUGUACUAAUAGCUGCUUUUAAGUUACAAAAUACAAAACAGUAAUUUCUUGGAGAAAAUCUUGGGGUAACAUUAAAAAAAUGAUAUUUCGAGUUCCCAUAGACUUUCUUUUUUGUUAACAGUCUUUGAACCUUCUCAUGGCACACAUGUAAGGCUGUCUGUGACAUGUGGUACCCUGGCCUCCAAAUGGACGUAAUUGCAUUUAUAGUUUAGAGAAAAUACAAAGACAAGUUUUUGAAAGUAGCCUUAAAAGAAGAGUGCCCCUUGCUUUGACAUAGCAAUAUCAAAAGCAAGUGGGACUGUGCAAUCAGAGCCAUAUGAGUUUUAUGAAAACUACUUUCUUUUCACAUCAUCUGUUAGAGAAUGCCACACCCAUGAUCAUGUAACAUUACAAUCGUGAAAUAACAUUACUACAUUCGUGAAUUAACAUUACCCAAUAAAAGGCACAUCUUCAGAUAGUGAAUUCAUAAAAUCUGAAAAUCAAAACAGUAGAGGAUACAUUAAAAACCAAGCACUUAAUUUGUAAACCUUUAUAAAAUAACAGCUUAUUCCAGUUUCUUCAAAGGUUUGUGAGCUUUUUGUAAGAGCCGUCAGGAAUUGCAGAACAAAACGGAAGACAGGAUUUGGAAACAAGGCCAAGAUUAAAAGACUUUCUCAGGACUUUCUUUUUAAAUGAGCUACAGAAGUGCCCUUUUAUAAUGUUGAUGCCGAGGAAUAAUAUAAUCAACAUCUGUAGAAGAAAUGCACUCAAAAGUGGUAGAUGCCUAAGGACACGACCUGACUCUUCCUAUGAAGUUCUAGAACUUUUAUCUAGCACAGUGGUGCCUUUCUGUACAAAUAACUGCACGUCGAGUAAAGUGCUAGUAAACGUUAAGCCACCAGAAAUCUUUCAGCUAUGAUAAGCACUUGAUUGUAAUAGAUUUUCAAAGAGUCUAAAUGCUGAAAAAAUAUAGCCCAGAAAACAACUUUUGUAGGGGUGGGGCGGGAGGAAGCACAAAAGUGACAGCAAAGGAAAUAAUGUUCCAAACCUGUUUUAUUACGUGGAACACCACACUACCCUUAAAUCAAUUUCACUGAAGAUAUUUUGAGAUGGGUGAGAGGCAGUCAACAGGAUUUUCUGCCAGUGUGACAAUUCUAUGUAGAUCAUUAGAGUGUUACUCCUGGUGAUGAAGACCUCUUUCAGAGGAUCCAGCUUCAAAGUUGAAUGCUUGCACUUUCGAAAUGUGAAACUCAAUUCGAAAUGAGUCAGAGUCUUAAGGGACUAGGUCAAAUGGUUGUCCCAUUAAGGGAGGUAACAACAGUAAUGUAUACCACCCAAACUUGGAGAAUAAAGAAAGCUUUAUGGAUAAAAAGGAAUACACCAAAACAACUUUUGGAACUGUUCUUCAAGCUUAUGUCCCGCUGUCCCCAACCCUCCAUAUUUAGAAUUAAGGACAAAGGCUCUCUAGCGUCGUCAUAUCUCAUUUUCUGUUGCUGACUUUUCCUUGAGACUUGGCUUCUCUCCAGCCCGAACCUAGGUCAGCCUGAUUGGAAUUGCCUGGGUUUGAGGCUUAAGAGAUCUCAAGUGUAAAAAUAGGACUUGGAAAAAAGUGAGAAUGAAGAAAGUUCCACAGCCCGGUAAAGCACCAGUAGCAGGGAACGUCCUUUUCUACCUGGGAAAAAAAUCUCUUCACAGUGCAUAGUUUGAAAUAAAAGUGCAAUAUGGGCAAAAAGAGAAGGUGGUGCUCUCAAUACACAUGAAUUUAGUUUUUGGCUUUUGGCAUUAAUUGCUAAAGAAUUUAAGAUAAAAUGCAGUCGUUAACAUCAAGAGGUACAGGGGCACCUUUUUCCAAAAUAUCUUUAUAGAGAGGGAGGAGGGGAGUCUCACAUGUCACUUCCUUAUUUUUUAAACUAUUACUCUUCCAAAUCUAAUGUUUGAAUAAAAUAAGCAUUUUUCUUCAGUAUAAAAAUGACUUUUCUUAGAUAAAAAUCAAUCAGCACAGUGACCUUGUCUAUUUUACGCUAAAGCCAACGUAACAGUAAAUUUGAAAGGAAAACCUGGAAACAGAUUAUUUUUAAACUAAAUGGCAUCACUUGUAUUUUAACUGGAAAAAAAAAAUUGUUAAUUGCCUUACCACCUAGAUUAGUGAAUAAGAAUGCUCGGCAUCCAAUCCAUGAAUAAUGUAAAAUACGAUAUAAUUUAUUCUACUUUUUACUUCAAAGUCACAGAGAUGACAUCCAUACGAUAAUUAUAGAGCCUACUCUACAUUUUCAAGUUCUCAAUCCAAACAUAUACAUUAGGACAGGUCACUUUAUUGCUGGCAACAUUCAUGGAAGGGCCAGGUUCCUCAUUAAAAGACAAAGUUUGAUUGGGAGCUGGGCAGUGCUCUACUCACACAUCAGCAGAACAUGAAGAGGCAAUCCUUUUUUUUUUUUUUUUUUUCCUUUUCAAAAUA